GCUCUGAUUAGUGUUCUUUGCUUCUUCUUCUUCUUCUUCUUCUUUG
rnacentral:sRNA from 1 species